rnacentral:rRNA from 1 species
CUACGUGCCAGCAGCCGCGGUAAUACGGAAGGUUCGGGCGUUAUCCGGAUUUAUUGGGUUUAAAGGGAGCGUAGGCCGGAGAUUAAGUGUGUUGUGAAAUGUAGACGCUCAACGUCUGACUUGCAGCGCAUACUGGUUUCCUUGAGUACGCACAACGUUGGCGGAAUUCGUCGUGUAGCGGUGAAAUGCUUAGAUAUGACGAAGAACUCCGAUUGCGAAGGCAGCUGACGGGAGCGCAACUGACGCUGAAGCUCGAAGGUGCGGGUAUCGAACAGGAUUAGAUACCCUGGUAGUCCGCACAGUAAACGAUGGAUGCCCGCUGUUGGUACCUGGUAUCAGCGGCUAAGCGAAAGCAUUAAGCAUCCCACCUGGGGAGUACGACCGCAAGGUUGAAACUCAAAGGAAUUGACGGGGGCCCGCACAAGCGGUGGAGCAUGUGGUUUAAUUCGAAGCAACGCGAAGAACCUUACCAGGUCUUGACAUCCCGAUGCUAUUUCUAGAGAUAGAAAGUUA